GACGAACGCUGGCGGCGUGCUUAACACAUGCAAGUCGAACGGAAAGGCCCUGCUUUUGUGGGGUGCUCGAGUGGCGAACGGGUGAGUAACAGGUGAGUAACCUGCUCUUGACUUUGGGAUAACUUCAGGAAACUGGGGCUAAUACCGGAUAGGAGCUCCUGCUGCAUGGUGGGGGGUGGAAAGUUUCGGCGGGUGGGGAUGGACGCGCGGCUUAUCAGCUUGUUGGUGGGGUAGUGGCUUACCAAGGCUUUGGCGGGUAGCCGGCCUGAGAGGGUGACCGGCCACAUUGGGACUGAGAGACGGCCCAGACUCCUACGGGAGGCAACAGUGGGGAAUAUUGCACAAUGGGCGGGAGCCUGAUGCAGCAACGCCGCGUGCGGGAUGACGGCCUUCGGGUUGUAAACCGCUUUCGCCUGUGACGAAGCGUGAGUGACGGUAAUGGGUAAAGAAACACCGGCUAACUACGUG
rnacentral:rRNA from 1 species